rnacentral:rRNA from 1 species
UGGGGAAUAUUGCACAAUGGGGGAAACCCUGAUGCAGCAACGCCGCGUGAGUGAAGAAGUAUUUCGGUAUGUAAAGCUCUAUCAGCAGGAAAGAAAAUGACGGUACCUGACUAAGAAGCCCCGGCUAACUACGUGCCAGCAGCCGCGGUAAUACGUAGGGGGCAAGCGUUAUCCGGAUUUACUGGGUGUAAAGGGAGCGUAGACGGUUUUGCAAGUCUGAAGUGAAAGCCCGGGGCUUAACCCCGGGACUGCUUUGGAAACUGUAGAACUAGAGUGCAGGAGAGGUAAGUGGAAUUCCUAGUGUAGCGGUGAAAUGCGUAGAUAUUAGGAGGAACACCAGUGGCGAAGGCGGCUUACUGGACUGUAACUGACGUUGAGGCUCGAAAGCGUGGGGAGCAAACA